AAGCAGUCAUAAAAAAAAUUAUAUAUUCACUCAAUCCACUAUAACUAUAAGUUUAUAACAACAUAUACAAAGAAUGAAAAUUCAAACAAGUAAACCAUGAAAGAGGAACUUAAUUUCAAAAAAUUGAAACUAAGCUCUCAAUGUAAUUGCUGGUUGAAGACCAGCUUACUUGAUAGCUAGUUCUAUAAUUAUUGGUAUAGCUUUACUUGCAGUAAUGUUUGUUCUCCUGACUUUAUUAUCGCUCCAAUUAUAGAGAAUUGCUUCGUUUUCUUGACGACUUCUAAGUAGCAGUGUAUCAGCAUCCUCAAAAAGAAGCACCGGCAAUAAUUGAAAACUAGGUGCUAAGUCAUAGUCUACUUGAAGAUGUUGGUAACUAAUUUUAAGGAAUUGAGUCCAAGAAUCUUCGGCCCCAUAUUUCUUCAUCUGCCAUAUGACAAAAUAGGUGUGCUAAGAAAAACAAAGACAGCCCCCUAGCACACCAACAAUUGGAGCUGCAGGUGGCAAUUCAUCGAACCCACAAGGCAGCUUGUACUGGCGGUACGUCUCAGUCCCCAGAUCAAGUGAAAAAAUAACAAGUUGUUCAACUGUAAUAUCCUCAAAACUAUAACCAUUGAUGUCGUCGUGAAUGGCUAACCAAUUAAAAGUGCCACUACAAUACACACCAUUGGUAGAGCAUCCACCGUUGGCGAGGCAAAGAGGAAGAGCGGGGAAACUUUCAAUACCUCUCCAAACAACAUCAUCACUCAAACUUAGAAUUCUCACACUGCUUUUUGGUUGAUUUAAUUUCUCUCGGAACGCCAGCACUUUAUAAGUGUCUGAUGAAUUGUCACAACCAAAGUUGAAGAUGUAGUUGCCACGACACCUGACAGUGUGAAAAUAGCCAAAUUUUGGAGAAAGUUGUCUGGAGGCUAAGUUCCAUAAACGGAACCAGUAUUCUUGAUACUUAACUACGAAAGAAUAACCAUACAAACAGAUCAAUCCAGUGCAGGUACCAACAACAAUACGAGAGCAAUCUUUGUUAUCUUUGUUGCCAUUUAUAGUAAGGAUCGAUGGAAAGGGAGAAGGAAGGGUUCUGAAUUAAACAGCGCAUGGAGUAGGGAAUGACGCAGCAAUCAAACUCAAUAUAACUGGCGUCGUAAUGGUAUGUGAUGUAUUCGGUAAUUAGUGUGAAUUGAGGAUUUCGAGUUGAUGAUCUACUGAGGUGCAAUUUCACAAAAGCGGAGUCGGAGAUGAGGGUUUUCCAAGACUUACUGACGCAUCUGAAUUGAAGGAAGGAAAGUAUUUCGGCGAUGAGAUCGUCUGGGACAACGACCACCGACGUCGGAGUCCUCCUAGACUUUGCUGGUUGUAAAUUCAUGUCAACGCAGUGCAUGAAAUCGGUUUCUAAUUUUGU
rnacentral:lncRNA from 1 species